AGUUUCAACAACGGAUCUCUUGGCUCUCGCAUCGAUGAAGGACGCAGCGAAAUGCGAUAAGUAAUGUGAAUUGCAGAAUUCAGUGAAUCAUCGAAUCUUUGAACGCACCUUGCGCUCCUUGGUAUUCCUUGGAGCAUGCCUGUUUGAGUAUU
rnacentral:rRNA from 1 species